rnacentral:rRNA from 1 species
CCUACGGGAUGCAGCAGUGGGGGAUAUUGCACAAUGGGGGCAACCCUGAUGCAGCGACGCCGCGUGAGCGAUGGAGUACUUCGGUAUGUAAAGCUCUGUCAGCAGGGAAGAGAAUGACGGUACCUGACCAAGAAGCCCCGGCUAAAUACGUGCCAGGAGCCGCGGUAACACGUAUGGGGCCAGGGUUAUCCGGAUUUAAUGGGGGUUAAGGGAGCGUAGGCGGCAGGGCAAGCCUGAUGGGAAAGCCCGGGGCUCAACCGCGGGACUGCAUGGGGAACUGCCCCGCGCGAGUGCCGCAGGGGCAGGCGGAAUUCCUAGUGUAGCGGUGAAAUGCGUAGAUAUUAGGAGGAACACCAGUGGCGAAGGCGGCCUGCUGGACGGUGUACUGACGCUGAGGCUCGAAAGCGUGGGGAGCAAACAGGAUUAGAUACCCCGGUAGUC